rnacentral:rRNA from 1 species
UACAGAGGUCUCGAGCGUUGUUCGGAUUCAUUGGGCGUAAAGGGCGCGUAGGCUGCGGGGCAAGUCGGGUGUGAAAUCUCAGAGCUCAACUCUGAAACUGCACUCGAUACUGCUUUGCUUGAGGACUGGAGAGGAGAUUGGAAUUCACGGUGUAGCGGUGAAAUGCGUAGAUAUCUGGAGGAACACCGGUGGCGAAGGCGGCAUCCUGGACCAAUACUGACACUGAGGAGCGAAAGCCAGGGGAGCAAACGGG